rnacentral:lncRNA from 1 species
CUCUCUUUUGUGGUAUUUCUGGAUCCUUACCAAGGCAGUAAUGGUGUAUGCCUUCUCUCAAAGUAUGUGGUAUUUUUGGUAUGAGGCAUAGUGGUAUUGCCUUCUCUCUCACCCUACUCUAAUAAGGUUUUGAUAUCUGGAGCUCAUAGGUGGGAGAUAGCUAAUACAUACUUACAAGACACUUAUUGCAUAGUCAAACCAUGGAUCCAGAAGAACAAGUCAAUAAGUCAAAUCAAGAUGUGCAUGUGUGGCGAAUGAAUCGUGAUAAUGGUGAAAAUAAUGGUGAAAGUCUAAUUCUACUUUUGCUCUUUUGAGGGGUACAUACCUUUCUUGCACUUGAGUCUUUUGAGGGGAAUGAGACGCUCUAUAUUUCAUUUUUCUUUUCUCUCAGGUGGGUAUCUUGUACCCCUAAUUCUACUAUCGGACACUUGUCCAUUUUUACCUCUCGUCUCACUUUUUUCGAGGUUUCGGGCACUUGCCUCUUUUUAUUUCCUCGUAUUCACUUUUUUUCAGAGCACUCACCCUCCUGGAAUAAUGUAGCAAGUGGUAGUAACCAAAAUAUCUCGAUCAUUUAUUUCACGGGGAAUAACAGGGAUAGGAUAAUGUUUUUGGCUAUUCUCUCCUAGAUAGGAGUAGAAUAAUUUUGGGUGAAUCUGGAUAUGGAAAUGAGUGGAUGUAUGUGGAUGCGUACUUCUGGAGUAGAAGCAGCAUGUAUGAGUGAACGUGCAAGUGAAUCUUGAUUUUAACCGCAUGACAAUCUCCUAAGGGUCUACACAGCUUGACCACACUCAAUGCUCAUAAGCAGUAAAAAGUAAAUGUAUGGUUUAUAGUCUAAUAAGCUUGUAUAUAUGGCUGUGGUAGAAUUUUAAACUCUUAUCAUAUAGGAACUCAUCAUGCAACAUUUUAAAGAUUUUUAAAGAUAAAAUUCUCUAGAAUUCUAGCAUCUCUAGGAAUAGAUAAACAACAGCUCAACCUUCCCAUAUCAUAUCUGUUAACGACUUAGACUUUUGAUCAGGUACUCUUCCCGCGAAUUCAGGUUUAGAGAAAGCUUUAAAUUAUAACAGUUAUGCCUAAACUUGAAAGAGAGCUCAAAUUUAAAAACUAGGUACUUGGCAGAGCAACUAUUCAUCAUAUCCAUGUAAGAGUUUAUCAUUGAAGUUCAGUUUGGCAUAGACACUUUAUUUAUUUAUUUAGCAAACUAAGCAAAGAUAUAUAUAAGCACAAAAUGUUUAAUUGGGUUUUUAUGAUUAUGCAUUUUUAUUAUUAUUUGAGUAAAGUAUAAAUGUGAGUAGACACACUUAGCUGGAUAAAUGAGGGUGCUCUCCCCCAAGCUGGAUUUUAAUGUAAUUUCUUCUGAUGUAGCUAGCAGGUGGCGUAGCCAUAUUUGAAUGUUGGCAGCACCCUAAUAGCGAUUAGGAUAUCCUCCGUCUGCUAGUCUUCCUUGAUCCUUGAAUUCUGUGGAGCUCAAAUAGACAACAAAGCUUUGUGGAACUGGUUAAGUGUUAGCAUAAAAUCUCUUAGCCUUUAUCAUGUUGAGCUUCCUCUAAUAAAUAUUACUCUCUUUAGUAGGAUAAUAAAUUUAUUUUUAUAUUUUCAUUUUUACAGGACAAGAAUAUAUUUAUUUUAUUUUUACGCCACAACAGUGAAUGGGUUUUAUGCCACGAGCAUACUCACAUGGGGCUUACUGUUUUUAGCAUUUUUAUUUUCUUUUCAAGAUAGCAUGAUUAACUAACAAGCUAUUUAAGGAAAGUAAAUAAUUUAAGAAAAAAAGGAAUGCAGAAGGGAUAAAUAUGAAUAACUACCGAUUUUACCUUUCGGCAAGGGUUCAAUGUUUUAAGUCUUUUGAACAAGUCUUCUCACCGUGUUUAUUCUUUAGGUGCGUCAUUUGAGUUAGGUGUGGACCUUGACAUCUGCACCUCUUGAUACAGUGUCACCCAUGUUUUUCGUUUGCCCAGCAGUUCGAAGUGCGGCGUUGGCAGCAUCCUCCUCAGUGUGUUUGUGCUCGUAGAUCCAGGUCCUUCAAUUGGUAGAGUCUGGGAGUUGGAAAACUCCUCCAUAUUUUGCACGAAUUGUAUCCUGCUCAUAGAGACAUGGCAGAGAUCAAGUGCAUGGGCUCUGUUGGUGGAAAACACUGUUGGGUAUUUUAAACGCAAACAGAAAAAUCCGCAAGUGCACGGAUACCGAUGUAGCCUUCACCCGGGAGUAUUCCAGAGUAUCGAUUUUCCACAGAGAACGUGAGUGUACUAAUUAAGAAUCAAGAUCGCCCAAGGAUAACUAUAUAAUUAUUUUUGGUGGGAAGAGAGGAAGUUUCCUGAGAGUUCUCUAGUUGAUCUAAGAAUCAAGAAUUACUUCAAGAUUAUCUAUAUCGGGACAUCAGAGCACUAACCACAAAAAGAGAUGAGAAGGGCGCUAGGAAGGUCUGACUACGGUCCUACAAACACCGAUCCGAACGUGGUGGAAUAUGUCGACCGUUAGGGCUGUCACUACCCUAAGGCUACCACAACAAUCCGCAGGAUUAGGUGCAAUUCCAGGUAAUUGCAAGACUAAACACCACGUCUAAUCUAUUAAUUACUACUCUAGCGUUAUAAAGACUAGAGCACUUGAUGCAAGUGGGAAUCCAAUAAAUAACUUGAAUGUAAAUAAAAGUAAUUAAAGAACUCAGGAAUUAUGAAUUAAAGAACUUGGAGAGCGAUGAAGAACGAACCAGAUGCUGCAAAAGUAUAAUGUUGAGGAAGAUCCGACAGAUCCGGCUCCUCCUCCGCUCUCCUCUUCUCUCUCCCUAUUUUCUAGAUUACAACUAGAACUAACUAGAACUAGAACUAGAGGAACUAGAACUAGAACUAGAUGAACUAGAACUAGAUCUAGAUGAACUAGAGGUAGAACUAGAAGAACUAGAGGGAUCCUCUCUACUUGGAUAAAGAAUUGAAACCCUAGCUUUGAUUCUGUAGAAGAGGUAUGAUCUCCAGGGGCCAGGGGGUCUGGUUUUAUAGUCCCUUCAAGUGAAUCUAGGCCGUUGGAUCAAACCGACAUUGAUUGAACGGUUAUCCUUGAUCCUUUAGGUCGGUGGAGCAAUAUCCCGAAAGAGAGUCCUGAUUGGACUCUAUGUGACGGCGGGCGCCCAGGAGAGUAGGGCGGGCGCCCUGUCCCUGAGUCCUCUCAGCUUCCGCUUUGUUCUCGUGGCUUCUGCAGUCUUCUAGAUGAUAGAAAAUUGCGCGGCACGUUAAUAUCUCUAUGUAAACCUGACGUGUGGGCCUUUCUUCCGUAUUUCCUGAUAACCCUCUGCAGAAAUAGACAAACACCAAAACUCGUGGAAUUCUGUCAGAUAAAACCCUAAGUCUGGGUGUUGGUUGCAUAUAAAUCCUUUUCCAUGAUUAGUUGAUGGUUAAAUAUGAGCAUUAAGGACCGUCAACAAGCUCCCCCAAGCAUAACCUUUGCUCGUCCUUGAGUAAAGAUGAACUUAAGAGUUUCAGCAGUGGUUUCAUGCCUUAAAGAUACACAUGCGUUCAAACAAUAUCUCAUCUCUAGGUUAGGGUAAACUGUUAAGAUUUAAACUUACUCAUUUUACCUUCCACCAUGGGGCUUGUAACCGUCACUUGUGUCUUGAGCAGUUAAAAGAUAGAACGGUCUAGUCAAGCACCAUGUCUCUUGUUCUUCGAUUAACUAUAGCUCUGGAGUUUUUGCAGAUUUUCAAAUAAAACUCAGAGAUUCCUUGUAUGACUCUCUCUAGUCUCUCUUUUGUGGUAUUUCUGGAUCCCUACCAAGGCAGUAAUGGUAUAUGCCUUCUAUCAAAGUAUGUGGUAUUUGUGGUAUAAGGCAUAGUGACAUUGCCUUCUCUCUCACCCUACUCUAAUAAGGUUUUGAUAUCUGGAGCUCAUAGGUGGGAGACAGCUAAUACAUACUUACAAGACAUUUAUUGCAUAGUCAAACCAUGGAUCCAGAGAACAAGUCAAUAAGUCAAAUCAAGAUGUGCAUGUGUGGCGAAUGAAUGGUGAUGAUGGUGAUAACAAUGGUGAAAGUCUAAUUCUACUUGUGCUCUUUUAAGGGGAUACAUACCUUUCUUGCUCUUUUGAAACUUUUUUAGGAGAAUGAGAUGCUCUAUCUUUUAUUUUUCUUUUCUCUCAGGUGGGUAUCUUGUACCCCUAAUUCUACUGUCGGACACUUGUCCAUUUUUACCUCUCGUCUCACUUUUUUCUUUUCUUUCGAGGUUCCGGGCACUUGCCCCUUUUUAUUUCCUCGUAUUUUUUUCUCUCUUUUUUAGAGCACUCAUCUCCUGAAAUAAUAUAGCAAGUGGUAGUAACCAAGAUAACUUGAGCAUUUAUUUCAUAGGGGAAAAAUAGAAAUGUUUUUGGCUAUUCUCUCCCGGAUUAGGAGUAGAAUAUUUUUAGGUGAUUCUGGAGAUGAAAAUGAGUGGAUAUAUAUGGAUGCGUACUUCCAGAGUAGAAGCAGCAUGUGUGAGUGAACGUGCAAGUGAAUCUUGAUUUAACCACAUGACAAGCUCCUAAGGGUCUACAUAGCUUGACCACACUCAAUGCUCAUAAGCAGUAAAAAAAUAAAUGUGUGGCUUUUUAAAGAUUUUCAAAGAUAAAAUUCUCCAGAAUUCUAGCAUCUCUAGGAACAGAUAAACAGUAGCUCAACCUUCCCAUAUCGUAUCCGUUAAUGACUUAGACUUUAGAUCAAGUACUCUUCCCACAAGUUCAGGUUUAGAACAAAUCUUAAUUAAUAACAGUCAUGCCUAAACUUGAGAGAGAUUUCAAUUUUGAGAACUAGUCAUUGCAGAGCAACUAUUCAUCAUUUCCAUGUGAGAGCUUAUCAUGAGGGUUCAUAGCGAUCUUUAUUUAUUUAUUUAUUUAGCAAACUAAGCAAAGAUAUAUAUAAGCACAAAAUUUUUAUUUGGGUUUUCAUGAUUAUGCAUCUUUUUAUUAUUUGAGUAAAGUAUAAAUGCGAGUAGAAACACUUAGCUGGAUAAAUAGGGGUGCUCUCCCCCAAGCUGGAUUUUGAUGUAAUUUCUUCUGAUGUAGCUAACAGGUAGCAGAGGUGUAUUUGAAUGUCGGCAGCACCCUGACAGCGAGUAGGAUGUCCUCCGUCUGCUAGUCUUCUUUGAUCCUUGAAUUCUGUGGAGCUCAAAUAGACAACAAAGCUUUGUGGAACUAGUUAAGUGUUAGCAUAAAUAUUUAGCCUUUAUCAUGUUGAGCCUCCUCAAUAAAUGUUACACUCUUUAGUAGGAUCAUAAAUUUAUUUUCAUAAUUUUAUUUUUAUAGGAUAGGAAUAUAUUUAUUUUAUUUUUAUGCCACCGCAGUGAAUGUACUUAUGGGUUUUAUGCCAUGUGCAUACUCACAUGGGGCUUACUAUUUUUUAACAUUUUUAUUUUCUUUUCAAGAUAGUAUGAAUAUGAUUAACUAAGCAAACUGUUUUAAAAUAAUUGAAAGGAAAAGGAUAACUACCAAGUUUACCUUUUGGCAAGGCGUUCGGUGUUUUUAAGUCCUCCGAACAGGACUCUCCGUUUUCUCAAUUGUCCUGGGAUUCGCUGGAUGGCGUAGUCGGUGGUUCCGGCAGCGCUUCCUCUUCAUGUAUAACUAUCUUCUCUUUCCACACGUGACUCGGUGCUAUGGUCUCCUCAGGACAGUUCUGUUCAAGCUGUAUGUCUUCAAAGCUGUAUGUCUUCAGACAUUACUACUUCUCCUUCGUAGUCUACCCAUCCGUCCUUGAUGAUUUGACUUCUCUGGUUGCGGUUGCGUCGUCUUCUUCUUGUCCUGACCUGCUUAGAAUCUUCAACUAUAUAGUUAAGGUCAGUAAAAUAGCGGCGUACCUUCUCAGAGAGGAAGUGCAUGUGGACUUCUCCGGUUCUAAUGUAGAUGAUUACUUUAACGGUGCUGAGGAACAGUCUCCCAAGGAUGAUGGGUGGAUCAUACUCGUCUUCUCCCAUGUCAAUAACCUUAAAAUCAUCUGGAGCUGAAUGUAUGUCGGUUUUAGGGGCAUGGUUCCGAACAGGAGCUAAUAGGUGACUGCGGCCAUUAUGUUGACGCCUGACCCAGUGUCGCAAAGCGUCUUCUAGAAGUUGUAUCCAUUAAUGGAGCACUGGAUGCUUGGCACACCUGGGUCGUCCUUUUUGGUCAGGAACGGUGACUUAAAUUGACGAUCUUGACCUCCUUGAACUGCAGUGAUCAUCUUAGCUGUCUCGGUCCACACUUGCU